rnacentral:rRNA from 4 species
GGGUUGUGAGGUUAAGCGACUAAGCGUACACGGUGGAUGCCCUGGCAGUCAGAGGCGAUGAAGGACGUGCUAAUCUGCGAUAAGCGUCGGUAAGGUGAUAUG